rnacentral:rRNA from 1 species
AUGGACGACAACACGAGCACGCUCAAGGCGCUCAUGGAGACCGUGCUCUCGCGCCUCGACGAGCAGAAGGCCGACAACGAAAAGCGACUCGAGGUGCAGGCCGCUUUCAACACGCAGGUCGCACAGGAUCUGCGAGCGCUGGCCAAGCAGGUGGAUCUCACCCAGGCAGAUGUGGACGAGACUCGCAAGGCACUCGAGAGAUCGCCGUCGCCGUGCGGAUCGGGACCGGGCGCCAUCCUCAACCCGUCCCCACCUCCACCCCCGCCGCCUCCCCUGCGCCCCCCACCCGUGCACCAACAGCAGCAGGUUCCACCACCGUCUCCACGACUCUCAGAUCAGCGCCCGCCUCUGCUUCAGGCGCCGAUCCAAUAG